CGGAGAUGUAAAGGCGGUAAAGAGCAGGCGGUCGGUUGGUCGCUGAGGCGGCGGCGAGAGCCGAGGGGAGGGCGGGAUGGCGCUGCACAGAGGGGGGUGUCUCCGAGCUCAGGGACCCCCCACUCACAGCCCCAGGGAGGCGGCCGGUGACAGGAUUCAUCUGUCUGCUGAAGCAUGGCUUUCCCCAAAGAUGUAACUGCAAGCAUCAUAUUUAAGAAAUGCCCUUUAAGAGCUAUCCAGAAGAAGAAGAGAAAAUUGAGUUGCUAACGGUGUCUACUCAGGUGCUCACCCAGGUAGAUACACUGCUCAUCAUGGAGACUGCCUCACAAUACUGGGAACUUAAGCCCAAAAUUUUUGCCAAUUUAUACUAAAUAUAAGAUAAGCCACAGAAUACAAUUUCUUCUAGACCAGAGCAUUCCACAGUUCCAGGGACAUUUUGAUAUGGAUCCAGACAAAGCAGGUCAUGAAUUUCCACUGUGAAGGGCAGCCUCCACCUUGGCAGCUUGCAGCCUGCGAGGUAAAAUAUUUGAGACAUUUUGGUCGGUCGCCAAGGGGAGCUGCUGCGGAGAUUGCCCGGUGGGCAGCAUCCUGUGACCACCCGCACGGGUCAAGCACGCUCGAGGCAGAAUGGUGGGUGUCCUUCAGAGAGCAAAGGCAAAGGGUCUGCACCCUCCACCCCAGUGGCCUCCGCUCAGAUGAAGCUGCUGCAUGGAGACCUCAGACUGCAGGAGGUGCCUUCUCUCAGCCUUUCUCCUGGGGCAGAGACAGGCAGGAGACUUGCAAAAGUUGUGUGCAGGUGGAGGACCUUCUGCAGCAUCAGAGUAGCAUCAGGCGUAGCAUCAGGGAGUAUGAGCAGAAGACAGACAGCUGGUUCCAAGCGCAGCCUGCACUGGACCCACAACCCACAGCCAAACAGUCAAAAUCUCCCACACUGGCAGGCACAGAAGGAAAGGCCAGCAAUGGACGAAUGGAAGCUUGUAACUGCAAAGACCAGCAGGAAGAAAAGAUUUCCCCUGAAGCCUAAGGCGCCUUUGCAGAAGUGCUCCACUGCUCUGCAGAGAGAAGAGGAAAGACCAACUGCAUCAGGAGGGGUGCUGGAGCUGAGUGAGGCUCUCCAUCUCCUCCCCGAAUAACAGCACAACCAAGAAAAGGCGAUGGGUGAUAGCAGUAGACGACUCUCUUCUGAGAGGUACAGAGGCACCCGUUUGCCAGCGUGAUGCACUCUCUAGGGAUGUGCACUUUUAUCAGGGGUUUAUCAGCACUUUCAUUCCUGUUUAUCAGCGGCUCAUAUCGGGGAUGUCACUGAGAGAUUACCCACCACAGUGGUUUUACUUUCAGAAGGAUUAGUUUCAUAAAAUUGUGUUAAGUGUCUUAGGUAGGACCAUAAAUCAGAGUUAUUAACUUUUCUGAGACCUAAAUUUUCUUUUUGUAAAUGAUUUCUAGAUUUCAGUCUAUGCAGCUAACUAGUAAAUUUUCUGUGAUUGUUUCUGUAACAGUGGAGAAGCUUUCAGCAAUGAUCUAAAAAAUUGUAGGUAUUUGUUUAGUGGCUGUGAAAAAAGCAGAAAAUGCCAUCUGUCUGUGUUUAGAAUUAGGGAGACUUGCAAGAAAACCCUGUGCCUGCAAUAUAAGAGUGGUUCAUUAUAAAACUUUCUGGGAAUCCGUAUUUGUUACAACAAACUCUCUUCAUUCAGAUAGUUUUCCUCCUUGGUAGACCUUAUAAGCAGAAUAGAGAAUUUUAGAGAGCUAUGAAGAGUCAGUGAACAAAGAUAUUUCAAUUCUCUGGUUGCCAUCAUGGUACCUCAUGAAUAUAUGCUAUCAUACAGAUUAUAAACUCAGUGUAGGAGUGCCUGAGCCAUGUCAGUCCUUUUUGCUUGAGCUCUGGCCUGUUAGUAAAGAAUGCUCUUUUUUUCACCUGAGACACAUAUGUAGAUGCUACAUGUAACGUGCAUUUGAGAUGAUCAGAGUAAGAGACAAGAAAUGGGAUCUAAGGAUGCUCCAUUUAAGAGAUGUGUCCUUUGCCACAUGGCUGCUGAGAUCAGUACUUAAGGCUUUUGUUGAAUUCCAUAUUUUGUCUAUAAUUGCUUGUAGCUUGUGGCGACAGAGCGUGCUGGAAGAUACCCUAGCUAUGAAUAUCUAUGGGAUGAUUAAAAAAAAUUAAUAUAACACUAGAAAUAUGUAAUACAGGAUUUCUUAACAUGUUCAGUUUUGUCUUUUACGUAUUUGUCUUAAGCGAUUUAGUACAUCCCCAUGACAAAUUUGCCUGGUUUUGUUUUUGUUUUAUUAUACAAUUUUUAUUAGCUAUUGUACUGUGUUCAUAAACUCUACUCCUAGGCAGAAGGAGACACAGUAAAACUGUCAUAUUCAAUUGAAAUAUCACACUGUGGUGUACCACAACUAUACAUGAAAGUGUAUCCAAAAUGUUGCAUGUUUGAGAAGGUCGGGUUAGCAAAAUAACAAUUCGGGAACAGAUUUUGUAUUGGUGGACCUAAUAUAGCAAUGACUGUCAAAACAAGAAUUUAAUAAAAGAAAAAGGUUUUGGAAUAAGCCUUAUUAACUGAGUAAAAGUGUGAAUAUUUCAGUUAUUAUGUUCAAAAGCAUAUGAUAUUAUGCUAGUUUCUUCUUAGCUGAUUGUUUUCCUAGCUGGUUUGGGAAAAAAAAAAAAAGAGGAAAAUUAAUAAGCUCUUUCUAAUUGUCUUGUGACCCCUGUUUGUUUUUUUCAUAAAGAUCCCUUUUCUGCAGUAAGACUCAAUCAUUGCUUUCCUGUAGUAGUUCAGAGAGUUUUUGACAUCUUUUUGGAAUCAGGUAGGAAGCGUGGUGACACCAUAACCAGAAAAUUCUAUGAGUACAAAAAUGUUAUUCCAGGUUUUCAAAUGAAGACUGGAGUUCAAGGACAUGUCUCAGCUUAACAUCAGUUUAGAAGAACACCUGUGACCAGAUUUUUUUUUUCAUAUUUUUGAGAAACACUAUGUUUUAUAUUUUACUAGAAAAAUCAUUAAGCUUCACAUAAACCUAGGUGGAUUUCUUCUGUUACAGGAAUGUCUGCUGUUUAUUUAUUUUUAUUUAGCUUGUCUCUUAGCUGCUGUUGCUGGCUUGUUUUCUUCCCUUUCUUGUUUUGCUUUUUUAUUUUUGAGAUUUCUCCUUUCUGAUUCUGUGUUUUGAAAUAUGUAGGUCUUUGAUAGCUUUUUUCAAGAUAAAACUAAUUUUGACUUAAAACUCGCUAUAUGAAGAUAUGAUGUUAAAAUCUCCUUCAUUGUUAACUUAUCUGAAAUGUUUUGAUUAUUUUGUAUAGUUACUCUGAUACUAGGACUGAAAUUUAAGAGAGUUAAUAUUAAGAUAAUUUUGUUAAGAGGUGUGCACCUCAGUUCAUUUUAGUCUUCAGAUACUUUGAUUUUUAAACAGACUGAUAAGAAUGAUCGAAGUUAAAGAAUGUAUAGUUACUGAACAACAAAUACAUGUGAAAUCUCUUCAGAGUUUUUCAUUGUGUUUCAAAAUAUAAAGUUUAUUUGCAAGUCUUUGAAAAUAACCAAUAUAAUACGACUUCUGUCCUGUUUCUCUUCCUCUUUUCCCCCAAAAGACAUAAAGCAAACUAUAUGUAGCUAUUUCCAAGCUAUUAUUAUGUUAAGAAAUGAAGUUGUGGUUUAAUGGAGUUUUCUUUCCAAGGUAGGAAAAUGAAAACUAAAUGAAAGAAAACUGGAAUAGAAUGGAAGAAAUGCUGAUGAAACAGCUUACAUUUCAUUCCAGAAACUGUAGAAUGGACAUUCUUCAAGCAUGGACAUUAAUGCUUCAGAUCUCUCGAUUUAGACAAGUUUGGACAGUAGUAACUCAAAAUAUCCAGCCAGUCUCUUACAAAAAUAUUGUAUUAUGACUGGACUGGCCUUUAGUGAAAGUGAAAAAUGGACAUUAACAUGGGAUAGGAAAAAGCUAAAUGAACUAUCUUAUCUUCAGAUGCAGUGAAGCAUUGAAAUGUAAUCUGUACUUUUCAUUUUGAGUAGACAGGAUUAUCUCAGUCUAACAUGUAAAUUCAAUUGGUGCCUGGCAGAUUCCCUGUUCUUUGUUCCACAUCACCAUGUCAAAUCCAGAUAAAUUAAUGUCUUAGUGUUGGCUUGCGUUAGCAGAAACAGAAAAGAGAAAAAUUAAAAUCUUUAUAAUAAAAAUUUAUAGCAAAAAUUCUCUUUAGUUGUUUGAAAUCUAUUAUUUAUUUACUAUUUAUUAUUUACUAUUUAUUAUUAUUUAUUUAUUUAUCUACAAUCUAUUUACAAGACUGGUAUUAGCCUUCGUUAUCCUUCAGUCACAUAUUGACAGGAUAGAGAACUGGACAGAGAGGAACUUCAUGAAGUUCAGCAAAGGAAAAUGCAAAGUCCUGCACCUGAGGACAAAUAACACCAGGCACCAGUACAACAUGAUGCCUGACCAGCUGGAAAGCAGCUUUGCCAAAAUGGACCUUGGGGUCUUGGUGGGCAACAAGCUGACCAGCAACGUACCCUCACAGCAAGAAAGACCAACAGUUUCUGGGCAUACUUGGCAGAAUGUUGCUAGCAAGUCGAGGGAGGUGAUCCUUCCCCUCCACUCAGCACUUGUGAGGCUGUAUCUGGAAUUCUGUGAUCACUGGUACGAGAAAGAUAUGGAAUUAUGGAAUGAGUCCAGCAUAAGAUCACAAAGAUGAUGGGGAGGGAAUGUAGAAAAAUGAGCAAGACUCUUCUCAGCGGUGUCCACUCAUAGGACAAGAAGGAAUGAGAACAAAGUAAAUGCAAAAACCUAAAUCUAAACACACUUGUUUAAGCUUUCUUCGUUACUGUUAAAUGCUUUUUAUGAUGGAAUGUCAACUUUCUUCCUGUAGCACUUUUUUCCUCAUAUUUAUUCAGUUUUUAUUUUAUUUCAAUCUUUUUAAAAUUAUGGAUAUUUUGCCCUCGUUUCAUUUAACAGUUCCCAAAAUGAUGGGAGUAAGAGGCUGGUAUAUUGCUUCAUAUGCAUUUUGUUCACUUAGAAUUGCAAAUACAAUUUCCCAGCCUCCCACAAUAUGUGUCUGCUACAGUGACGUAUUUCAUUAUAGUAUUUCAUAGAACACAUUUGUUGUUGCCUACUGCUUGUUUGGAUUUUUUAUGUCUGUUCGUCUCAUAUUCAAGGGAAUCUGAACCACCUUGAAAAUGUACUUUUUUUUUUCUUAAACACAGCAUGUGUCUUCUUCCCUCUUUUAUAUUCAAUUAUUUCUAUUUUUACAAAAUAUUUUGUUUAUCAGUUUAUUUAAAGAUUUUGGUUGCUAGCCAAUGAAUUUUAGCCCAUGGAAGCAACAGAAAAACUAUGAAACUUGAAGAACUGGGUCAGUUUAUAUUUACUUUGUCACUCCAAUUCUUACAGAGUAGAUCAAAGUCUUAAAUUUACGUCCUUCCUAGCAAAAUUUGAAGUUCUCUCUCCUUUCUGUAUUCUCUCUGUAUAUAUGUAAGCAUAUAUAUGUUGUUGUUGUUGCUUAAGAAACAAUCUUGUAGUGUUACACAUAGUCAUUGAUAUAGUUACACGAUGUCAUUGAUUGUAAUCAUAUAUCCACAACAAUUUUUCCCUGAAAUCUUCUGGAACAAUUAAAGAAAAUUCAAAUAGAAAGUUAACCUAUUUGCUAAUGAAUUUUAAAACACUCUUAAUGCAGACACUAUAUUAACAACACUAUGGUUAAAGGAAUGUGUGGGCUGGUUCUGAAGGGUCUGGAAG